rnacentral:lncRNA from 1 species
CCCCCAUUUCCUUCCCUCUCAUUUGGCCAUGGCCAUGAAACCUGAUUGGCUACCAAUGACAGUGCAUAAUGCCGACCAAGAGAUGACCCCGACAGCUGCCACAACCACCGACGGUUGAUGAAGUACUGGCCCCAAUGCCUGUUGCCAAUGGAGAUCGAUAGAACCAUAAGGAAAAUAGGGAUUUCCCUAUUUUAAAACAAAUCUGAUGAAUUUGCCGGCUCUAAACAAUGGGGAAGCACCAAGAAAAGAUAAGAAAAACAAUGCUAGGCCUUUAUCUCGAUCCGACGAAGCUAGGGAAAGGGUUUCCGACAAUCUAUUCCUUACAGCAGCUUAAGGAAGAACUCUCGAAAUCUCAAACUAUUCGUAAUGAUCCCUCAAGGAUUCGGUGGUGGAUUCAAGGAAGAGGGAAAUCAUCUAUUUAUAGACAUGAUUUGAUGUUUCUAGGGUCUGAUUUUUAGGGGUUUACCUCUGGGUUUUCCUAAGGAGAUCAAGAGAGAAGACUCCUAAUCAAAGUCC